rnacentral:rRNA from 1 species
AGCAGCCGCGGUAAUUCCAGCUCCAAUAGCGUAUAUUAAAGUUGUUGCAGUUAAAAAGCUCGUAGUUGAAUUUCGGGGUUCUACCGUCGGUCGGGCUAACAAGUCUGUACUGGUGUGUAGAACUUCUACCUUCUGGGGAACUAUCAUGUUAUUAAUUUAGCGUGGUAGGAAACCAGGACCUUUACCUUGAAAAAAUUAGAGUGUUCAAAGCAGGCUUAAGUCUGAAUACAUUAGCAUGGAAUAAUAGAAUAGGACGGUGGUCCUGUUUUGUUGGUUUCUGAAUCACCGUAAUGAUUAAUAGGGAUAGUUGGGGGCAUUAGUAUUCAAUUGUCAGAGGUGAAAUUCUUGGAUUUAUUGAAGACUAACUUCUGCGAAAGCAUUUGCCAAGGAUGUUUUCAUUAAUCAAGAACGAAAGUUAGGGGAUCGAAGACGAUCAGAUACCGUCGUACUCUUAACCAUAAACUAUGCCGACUAGGGAUCGGACGAUGUUAAAUUUUAUUGACUCG